rnacentral:rRNA from 1 species
GAUGAACGCUGGCGGCGUGCCUAAUACAUGCAAGUCGAGCGAACAGACGAGGAGCUUGCUCCUCUGACGUUAGCGGCGGACGGGUGAGUAACACGUGGAUAACCUACCUAUAAGACUGGGAUAACUUCGGGAAACCGGAGCUAAUACCGGAUAAUAUAUUGAACCGCAUGGUUCAAUAGUGAAAGACGGUUUUGCUGUCACUUAUAGAUGGAUCCGCGCCGCAUUAGCUAGUUGGUAAGGUAACGGCUUACCAAGGCAACGAUGCGUAGCCGACCUGAGAGGGUGAUCGGCCACACUGGAACUGAGACACGGUCCAGACUCCUACGGGAGGCAGCAGUAGGGAAUCUUCCGCAAUGGGCGAAAGCUUGACGGAGCAACGCCGCGGGAGUGAUGAAGGUCUUCGGAUCGUAAAACUCUGUUAUUAGGGAAGAACAAAUGUGUAAGUAACUAUGCACGUCUGGACGGUACCUAAUCAGAAAGCCACGGCUAACUACGU